GGCUGGUCCGAAGGUAGUGAGUUAUCUCAAUUGAUUGUUCAUGGUCAGUUACACAUUGCACUCCUUGUUCUACUCAAUCCCCACUUCUCACUAAAGCACCUGACUGGUUGUUU
rnacentral:Y_RNA from 1 species